rnacentral:rRNA from 1 species
UACGUAGGGGGCAAGCGUUGUCCGGAUUUAUUGGGCGUAAAGAGCGUGUAGGCGGCUUCACAAGUCCGCUGUGAAAACUCGAGGCUCAACCUCGAGCUGUCGGUGGAAACUGUGUAGCUAGAGUCCGGAAGAGGAGAGUGGAAUUCCCGGUGUAGCGGUGAAAUGCGCAGAUAUCGGGAAGAACACCCGUGGCGAAGGCGGCUCUCUGGGACGGUACUGGACGCUGAGA